rnacentral:rRNA from 1 species
CUUUCUUUGCUGGCGACCGGCGCACGGUGAGUAACACGUAUCCAACCUGCCCUUUACUCGGGGAUAGCCUUUCGAAGGAAAGAUUAAUACCCGAUAGCAUAAUGAUUCCGCAUGGUUUCAUUAUUAAAGGAUUCCGGUAAAGGAUGGGGAUGCGUUCCAUUAGGUUGUUGGUGAGGUAACGGCUCACCAAGCCUUCGAUGGAUAGGGGUUCUGAGAGGAAGGUCCCCCACAUUGGAACUGAGACACGGUCCAA